GAGCGUGUAGCACAGGGCUGCAAACUGGGGGUACAUCUCUGAGAGGCUUUGGGGGCUGGUAAAGCAGCUGACAAGCUGGGCUGCAGAGGAGGCCUGCCUACCGCAAAACUAAGGUCCACGUCUUUCCUGUGCUGAGGACUCCAGACCUGGAUGCAGUACUCCAGGAGGAUCUGCUCCAUGACCUUAAAAAAAAAAAUUGUGCAGAGUAUGAGCCUCGCCCUGGGAAAACCACCUGCCUGACCAUGGUGUCUCC